UAAAUCAGAAUAUGUGUAUGAUAUUGCUAUGCUGUGUACUGUGUGCCAGCCUAUCUGGGUUUGAAGGAUGCCUCUGUCACUUGGGAUUUUUGCCAAGAUAGUUACUGUGACUCUGGUUCCUUGUGUAAAAUGGGGUUUAUAGAAUCUUUGUUUCUUGAUUAGGGUUACUAUUGCUGUGAUGAAACACCAUGACCAAAGAAACUUGGGGGAAGGAAAGGGUUUGACUUACAUUUCCACAUCACGGUUUGUCAAAGGAAGUCAGGACAGAAACUUGGCAGGGCAAGAACCCCGAAGCAGGAGCUGGCACAGAGACCAUGGAGGGGUGCUGCUUACUGACUUGCUUCACCUGGCUUGCUCAGCCUACUUUCUUAUAGAACCUAGGAACCAGCCCAGGGGUGGCACCAUCUACGAUGUGCUGAGCCCUCCUCAAUCACAAAUUAAGAAAAUGCCCUACAGACUUGCCUACAGCCUUAUCUUAUUGAGGUAUUUUCUUAAUUAGAAUUCUUCUUCUCACAUGACAAUAUCUUGUAUCAAGCUGACAUAAAGCUAUCCAGCACAGGGGGCCUUGUCGUUUUUGAGAAUGGGAUGGAAACGCAUGUAACAAUAUUCAGUUCGAAUUCAGCAACUGUAAAGGCUGUACUCUUAACUUGGAGAAGUGACCAACAGAUAAUGGAUUAUAAGGUCUGUGUUGUAAUAAAUGGUGCUCAUUUACCUAGCCCUCAAGUUAGCCCACACAUUAUUUUCUACUUUCAUGAGGGCUAUGAAUGCAUCUGAACUGAUAAAGUAGUGAAGCAGCAAAAUCUGAUAAAAUUAACAGAUCCAAUGUGUGAAAGUAUAUGUCAGUUGUAUUCAUGUGAACCUAGAAUUUAAAAGUAAACUCGUUCUAAACUGCUUAUUAGUGUGAUGCAAUAUCAAUUUAUAUUUUUCAUGUAAUAAACUUACUGUAUUUU
rnacentral:lncRNA from 1 species